CUAAUACUCCCUCCGAUCCAUAUUAAUCGUCUCAAAUUUGUACAAAUAUAGAUGUAUCUGUAUCUAAAAAGCAUCUAAAUACAUGUAAUAUUUCGACAAUUAAUAUGGAUCGGAGGGAGUACAUG
rfam:Brachypodium distachyon strain Bd21 chromosome 1, whole genome shotgun sequence.